AAAACAAGAGUGCACACGCUGAAAUGUCUCGCCUUCUUUACUAAUCAUUGAUAUUAUGUUGAUAGUCCUAAAUAUAAAGCUUUAUUACAACUGUCACAUAAACUUAACAUUAACCAAGUAAACUAAACAUUGACCAAUGAACCAUGAAAAUGAGGUCAAGGUCAGAUGAACCAUGCUAGGCAGGCAUGUAUAGCUAACAAUUCUUCCAUACAACAAAUAUAGUUGACCUAUUGCUAAUAGUUUAAGAAAAACAGACGAAAACACAAAAACUUAACACUGAGCAAUGAACCUUGAAAAUGAGGUCAAGGUCAAAUAAAACCUGCGUGACUGACAUAUAGAUCAUAAAAUAUUUCCAUACACCAAAUAUAGUUGAACUAUUGCAUAUAGUAUUAGAAAAAAAGACCAAAACUCAAAAACUUAACUUUGACCACUGAACCAUGAAAAUGAGGUCAAGGUCAGAUGACACCUGCCAGCUAGACAUGUACACCUUACAAUCAUUCCAUACACCAAAUAUAGUAGACCUAUUGCAUACAGUAUAAGAAAAACAGACCAAAACACAAAAACUUAACUAUAACCACUGAACCAUGAAAA